rnacentral:rRNA from 1 species
UACGUAGGGGGCAAGCGUUGUCCGGAAUUAUUGGGCGUAAAGAGCGCGUAGGCGGUCCGAUAAGUCGGCUGUGAAAGUCCAGGGCUCAACCCUGGAAAGCCGGCCGAUACUGUCGGACUAGAGUUCGGAAGAGGCAAGUGGAAUUCCUGGUGUAGCGGUGAAAUGCGCAGAUAUCAGGAGGAACACCGGUGGCGAAGGCGGUUCUCUGGGCAUGAUCUGACGCUGAGGAGCGAAAGUGUGGGGAGCGAACAGG